GGUUAUUAAAAUUGAUUAUUGAUGUUUGUUUAAAAGUCUGAAAUCAAUAAAAGUCUUUGAUUUUAUAGGCUCAUUAUGAGAAGGAGGAACAAGAGGAAGAGAAAAGCUCCAAAUGGAGAAGAAAACAUUUAUUCCACAAUUGAAAUACAGUUGGAAUCAUGAUGGGCUGACUUGGUGGGAUCAUCAAUCAAGGGGCACAACCCUCCUUUAGCUGAGUGGUGACACAUCAUUUUAUGCUUGUCUCAGGAUUUCUAGUCAUGAGAUAAGUGAUCCAAGAAGAGGAAAAUUGUUCCAUACCAUGUAC
ensembl:lincRNA